rnacentral:lncRNA from 1 species
CGAGAACAUGGCUUUGGAGUCAGAUGGACUUGGGUCCAAAUCCUGACAUUACAGCUUCCAGGUGUGAGUUGGGAAAAGCUGCUAACCUCCCCUAGCUGUAACAUUAUUCUCAUCUAAUGGGUCAGGAAGCAAAGAUCAAGAAAGACCAAUUGGCAAACAUGAGUCCUGUGUUGUCAUCUAUAAAAAAAGAUUCACCUUGCAUGAUUCUUAUAAGGAAUGAGAAGAUAAGAGGAAAGAGCCCACAAAGGCAAAAGUGUCUGGGGCCCACGAAAAUCAUAAUGCAGCCUUGAUGAAGAAAGAUCUUUGCCAUUCAAAAGAAGGGUCGUGGCAAACAAAGAGGCAAAAAGUAAAGAAAACCACUCAGUAGAUGAGUAUAGGGUUCCCCCAAUCCUGACAUCCUUCAGCUCCGGGAAGUCCUUCUGCCUCGGGAUGGCAGGGAUAUUUUACAAG